rnacentral:snRNA from 1 species
AGACCUUGGCAGGGGAGAUACCAUGAUCACGAAGGUGGUUUUCCCAGGGUGAGGCUCAUCCAUUGCACUGCGGGUGUGCUGACCCCUGCAAUUUCCCCAAAUGCAGGAAACUCAACUGCAUAAUUUGUGGUAGUGGGGGACUGCGUUCGCGCUGUCCCCUG